rnacentral:pre_miRNA from 1 species
UUUUAAUAGAUGACGCCGUUGACUUUUUCUCACAUGUUUGACCAUUCGUCUUAUUCAAAAAAAUNAAAUUUUUGAAUAAGACGAAUGGUCAAACAUGUGAGAAAAAGUCAACGGCGUCAUCUAUUAAAA